CUGACUGCAAAGAAGACGAAGAUGAAGUCACUCUUCUAGAAACUGCCUUGUACAGGACCAGUGGUGACAGAGAAGAAAGGAUGGGCCUUUGAACAUGGCUCAGCUUCCAGACACCACAUCUGGACCUGGAUCCUCCUGGCGUCACCUGGAUUGGCUGCCCUAGAGACACACUUUUCGAUCCCUGCAAGCUCAUUCCAGUCCCCAGAGCGCCUGGAACCCUUGCCACUGAGAUUCAAGUGAAGAAUGAGAUAAGUCCUAAGAAUGUGGCCGAUUGGGCUUGCGUGGGCUUGCGUCCCCUCACAAACAUAUACUGGAGACCCAGCAGGAGAGUUUGCAUGCUGAAGCCUCCCAGUGUGAUUCCCACAAUGACAGGACAUUGCUGACUAGAACCGGAGUGUCCCCCAGCCCCUCACUUCCAAACCAUGACCAUGUUCUGGCCAACUUCUAUCUUCAGAAAGCUAGUUUCAGCGACCAAGGAAGGUCCAGUUUUGCUGAAAGUCUGGGUUCCUCUGACUUCUCUACACUCAGAGCUCACAUUAGGAGACCCCUCGUUCUCUCAUGAGCUCCCACACAGCCCGCUGCUCUGGUUAUGCUCUGCUGAAGCAGUCUGCCCAUCGUGGCCUGCUAACUGGUCUUCCAUGGAGGCACCGAGGCUGCGUCACCUUGACCUUCAGAGCCGUACCCCACAAGGCUGUCCAAAUGUGGCCUCCAUCUUCCUCGUAAAUCUUAUGCUGUCCGUCCUCGUCCCUGAGGCUGGGGUGUACCCCAAUUGCCUUGGUCUCUGCCUCUCCACUUAACAACUGACUCAUUUGUCAUGUGCACACAGCUUCCAGAGACCCUGUUCUUUCUUCUGGCUGUGUGUAGGCGCUGCUCAGCCUCUGCUUCUGUGACCUCAAAACCAAAGAGGACAAGGAUCUGACUGGUCCUUGCUGGGCAUUUCUGGGCUGCUUUUGCCACAGCUGACCCAUGACAAUGUGGGAGCUAAAUGGUCAUAGCCCUUCCUAUUGAGUAUGCAUUCCAAGUUCCAGGCUGUAGAUACCAGCCACCUGAGAGUCCAAACCAGUAUCUUCUCUUUUCCUUACGUAGAGUCUCCACAAGAGAAGCCAGGUCCCUCCCUCUUUGUAGGUUUGUCCCCUCCAUGUCAGACAGGAUGUUUCUAAUGGGCACAUCCUUCCUUCAGUAAACCCCUCAAAGGGCCUCACCCCCGGGGGUUGGAGGUUCUUCCCAUCAAUUGGGAAGUUGCUGCAAUCUUUCCUGCUUAGAUCUGCAAAAAAGUGAGGACCAAGGACCUUCCUGCUGUUUGGUAACAGAAAACAGGCUAAGCCCUGUGGAAAGGACAGAAUGAAAAAAAAAUGUGGAAGAAAAGUAGAUGGUGAGAAAGAAUUGAUAUGAUUUUUCUUUAACUUCACUCUAUCUUGAUCUGUAGCUAUUGUGCUACUGCUUUGUUUAAUAGAGAGUCCAUAUGGGUGGAUUAAAGACAGGCAUGAAAGGCAAUGCUCACAAGGAGACAAGCAAGAAAGCAGAAGUGUCUAAAAUGGACCUGUGUUCAAUUUCACAGACAGCCAAGAAAAGGAAGCCUGUCACCCUGGGAGGCCAAUUCACACCUGUUACCGACAAGAUUAGAAAAGGACGGUCACUUCCAGUAGUGGAUAACUACUUUGUCAAGAAAUUGAAGGGUUUGGGAACUUGCCCUCUCCUUGAGCAAUUUGACAGAUUUUAUAUUUAUGAAUGAA